rnacentral:rRNA from 1 species
UACAGAGGGUGCGAGCGUUAAUCGGAAUUAUUGGGCGUAAAGCGCACGUAGGCGGCUUAGCAAGUCGGAAGUGAAGUCCCACGGCUCAACCAUGGAAGUGCUUUCGAAACUGCUGAGCUUGAGUACGAAAGAGGAUCGCGGAAUUCUCGGUGUAGAGGUGAAAUUCGUAGAUAUCGAGAGGAACACCGGUGGCGAAGGCGGCGAUCUGGACGAUGACUGACGCUGAGACGCGAAAGCGUGGGGAGCAAACAGG